AACCAUGGUGAGGGCAAAGGGCUUACAGUUCAUUGUAUAUUUCCCAUGCUUGAUAUAAGGUCUCAUUAUCCUUUUGGGCAAAUGAAAAAAUUUGUUUCUUCAGGGC
rnacentral:snoRNA from 1 species